GUAGGUGAACCUGCGGAAGGAUCAUUACCGAGUUCAUGCCCUCACGGGUAGAUCUCCCACCCUUUGUAUACCUUACCUUUGUUGCUUUGGCGGGCCGCCUAGCUACUGGCUUCGGCUGGUAAGUGCCCGCCGGAGAACCCCAAACCCAACCCAUUUAUAGUGUCGUCUGAGUAAAAUUUUAAUAUUUAAAACUUUCAACAACGGAUCUCUUGGCUCUG
rnacentral:misc_RNA from 1 species